rnacentral:lncRNA from 1 species
GACAAACUGUCUGUGUACUGCUUCAAGGAGAACCUGGCCACCUACGAGAAAACUUUCAAGCAGCUCUUCCCCACCAGGCCCCAGUGUGGCAGGGACAAACUCCAUUGCUAGCAGGAAGCAGGCUGUACCCAUCUCAGGAGGUGGGGUGCUGUUAGAACAAUGGUGUGCACCAGUGACACAAAGAUGUCAUGGUUAAGAUGGCAUCAAGAAGUGGAAAGGACAUUCGGAACAGUGGGUCCAAGGCACCCAAAGUCCUCACCCCAAUUUAGAAGCCGUUGGUCCUGUAAGACUUAAAUCUACUAAACAAGGAAGGUCUAACUGGG